rnacentral:rRNA from 1 species
UACAGAGGGUGCGAGCGUUAAUCGGAAUUACUGGGCGUAAAGCGUGCGUAGACGGUUAUUUAAGUCGGAUGUGAAAGCCCCGGGCUCAACCUGGGAAUUGCAUUCGAGACUGAAUAGCUAGGGUGCGGUAGAGGGAAGCGGAAUUUCCGGUGUAGCGGUGAAAUGCGUAGAUAUCGGAAGGAGCAUCAGUGGCGAAAGCGGCUUCCUGGACCAGUACCGACGUUCAGGCACGAAAGCGUGGGGAGCAAACAGG